GGGAGGCCAUGGACUUGGGAGUGUCAUGUGAGUGCAGAUGGCGGCGUGAAUUUCUUUGUAAAUUAAAUAAGUUAUUUCCUGUUGCAUAGUUCAAUUAUUGCUAUUGCAAGUUAUAUUUGUUUUUUUGGGUGAAUUAAAGUGACGGAAUAAUGGAACUGUAAGAAAACGGAUCUCACGCCGCCAUUCUGGAGAAAUCUCAUUACUGAUGGUAAACCCUCUCUAACACCGAGAGCAGACACUUCCAACGUUCGAUCAAUCAGGGAACAAGCCAAAGGAUACCGUCUCCCAUUUGUUUUUGUAUUGAUUCAUCAUCCUGCACCCUCCGAGGGUAGUUUCAUUAGCUAUUGGGCAGUUGCACCACUUCGGUGAUAACUUCGUUCCACGGAUUUGGUACCAGACACCAAGGAUCGUUGUUGGAACAUGUGAAAAGGGGUUUGUUUUGGGGGACAUUUGUUCAUACCAGUUAAAGACAUAUUUUUUUUUCUAGUAAUAUUCAGGACAUUUCAUACUUUCAUAAUUUAAUUACACAUAUAUGUUUUUCUUUCUCCACAAAUUUAAGUACAUUUUAGAUAUAACAGCCAUACCUUACAGUUAGUAGUGUUCCCCAAAUUUAUAUAAUUCCUGGUAGAAGUUUCGAGCUCGAAUAUUCUCCACCUACAUGUUCUUUUCACUUGGUUUGUAUUAAUUUUAGACUUGUUUCCUCAUUUAAUUUAAAAAUAAUAUUAGUUCAAUUCACCUAAAUUUAAAAUCAUUUAACUUGCUUCAUAAUUUUCAAUUUUUAUUAGAUUUUUUGGUAAAUAUUAUUUAACUUUCGCUAUUAAACUUUUUAUAUUAAAUUCGAAUAAAUCCCUAGUACCCAUCCCCUCAGGAAGGUACUAGUUUU